UACAGAGGUCUCAAGCGUUGUUCGGAUUCAUUGGGCGUAAAGGGCGCGUAGGCGGCGGGGUAAGUCGGGUGUGAAAUCUCAGAGCUCAACUCUGAAACUGCACUCGAUACUGCUCUGCUUGAGGACUGGAGAGGAGACUGGAAUUCACGGUGUAGCAGUGAAGUGCGUAGAUAUCGUGAGGAAGACCAGUGGCGAAGGCGGGUCUCUGGACAGUUCCUGACGCUGAGGCGCGAAGGCCAGGGGAGCAAACGGG
rnacentral:rRNA from 1 species